AAUAAUAAAUAAAAAAGAGCAUUGUAGCCUUCCUUUGCGCUCCGCCGCGUCCUCCUACCGACGAUCGAUCGCGGCGCAGGUACUGCGCGCAGGCGACUGUCCCUUCACUUUCGACGCCCGGAAGAAGCUCUCCGUCGUCGACGUUGUCGAGCUCGUCCAUCGCCAAAUCGACACCGGCUCGCUCUACCAUACCAAGCAAGGCGUCAGCGAAGUCAUCGAUGAGGGCCUGCGACUUCCGGCCAUCCGCGAGAGCUCAGAAGCUGAUGUUGUUUAAGAAUUAGCUGUGCAUAGAGUAGCUCAUUCCAGGAAUCAGGAACUCCAGGGAGGCACCAAUGGCUGCAAUCCUGAAACCUUUCCAGUUCUCUUCUUUCCUCAUCCGUCAAGUUCUGCUUCUGGUAGAUCGAUGGAUGAGCAUCUUUCCGGUAGUCGGUCAUUCUCGUAAUGUUCAAAUACACAACACAGGUUUUCAUCCCCUUGAUGACAGAUUCCAACACAAUCAUCUUGGAUGGAUAGGAUGAGAGGUACUUCUCAUUCUUUAUGGGUUCUGUCCCCUUGUCACAUUGUCCGCCGGAAUUCCAUUGCCCGCCACUGAAAAUGAACAAAAUAGACUUAAGUUUCGGUUUGUAUGUGAUGAAUUUUUCGAGUAAAUAGUUUCAUGAGUACCUGAAAUGGGAGGAAGAGUAACCACGGAAGACUACUAGGGAUUUCUUAGAAUUCACAUUCGUAUCCACCCAUUUUGCCCAAGUAUUUAGGGCUUUAUGGAAUGCUUCCACCACAUUCAAUUCACUGUAAAUAUGAUUGCCUUCCUGGUAGUAGUCUUUCCUAUUUGUAGUUA